GAUGAACGCUGGCGGCGUGCUUAAUACAUGCAAGUCGAACGGACAGGCCCUGCUCUUGCGGGGUGCUCGUGUGGCGAACGGGUGUGUAACACGUGAGUAACCUGUCCCUGACAUUGGGAUAAAAUCUGGAAACACGGGAUAAUAUCGGAUAGGAGAUUCUGCUGCAUGGUGGGGGUAGGAAAGUGUCGGUGGUUGGGGAUAGUUUCGCGGCUUAUCAGCUUGUUGGUGAGGUAGUGACGUACAAAGGCUUUGAAGGGUAGCCGGCCUGGGAGGGUAGCCGGCCACAUUGGUACUGAGAGACGGCCCAGUCGCCUACGGGAGGCAGCAGUGGGGAAUAUUGCGCAAUGGGCGGAAGCCUGAUGCAGCAGCGCCGCGUGCGUGAUGACGGCCUUCGAGUUGUAAACCUCUUUCGCCGGUGACGAGGCGUGAGUGACGGUAAUUGGUAAGAAAGCACCGGCUAACUACGUG
rnacentral:rRNA from 1 species